rnacentral:rRNA from 22 species
AACUUUCAGCAACGGAUCUCUUGGCUCUCGCAUCGAUGAAGAACGCAGCGAAAUGCGAUAAGUAAUGUGAAUUGCAGAAUUCAGUGAAUCAUCGAAUCUUUGAACGCACCUUGCGCUCCUUGGUAUUCCGAGGAGCAUGCCUGUUUGAGUGUCAUGA